rnacentral:rRNA from 1 species
UACGUAGGGUGCAAGCGUUUGUCCGGAAUUAUUGGGCGUAAAGAGCUCGUAGGCGGUCUGUCGCGUCUGCUGUGAAAACUCAGGGCUUAACCCUGAGCUUGCAGUGGGUACGGGCAGACUAGAGUGCGGUAGGGGAGACUGGAAUUCCGUGGUGUAGCGGUGAAAUGCGCAGAUAUCAGGAGGAACACCGGUGGCGAAGGCGGGGUCUCUGGGGCCGUAAACUGACGCUGGAGGAGCGAAAGCAUGGGGAGCGAACAGG